UUGAACGGUCAAUAACUCCAUAGCAGGUGGAAAAUUCCGCGAACACGCGAUGUCUAUUUUCUAAUGUAAUAGAAUUUUUCUUGAUCUGGGUAUCUAGUUUACAAAGCGAUCGAAAGUUGUAGAAAUUAAUGUUCCUUUUAACUGAUAAUGCCAAUUAACCAUCAAUUGCCCGAUUAAUGAGAGGAAUAUUAAUUUCUGUCAUAGUUCAAUGAAAUCGAUACGAAAGUGAUAGCUGAGGAAGUAGUUUUUAUCGAUCAAGUUGGGAAUAGACAGGCCUCGACCCAAUUGCACCUAUCGCAUGUAUUAUCGGCUAAAGGGUAGUCGUCAACUAGUCGUCACUCUAUCCUAGAAAUUCCUGGUAGUGAUUAUUGAGGAAAUUUCUAAUCAUUUCGGAGAUACCGUACUACUCAAAAAAACAAAAGAAAAUAUCAACUCCUUGUUCCUUGCUGAUUGUGCCAGGUCAAUCUGAUUCUAGCGCAAUCAGGAAUAGCAACAAAAACAAUCAAGUUUUUUACAUAAUAAGUAAUUAACAAUUAACAGUUCAAGAGGACUGCGAUUAUUUCGUGGGGAGGGGAUUCUUCACUCUUGCCAAGCACUCAACACUCACUGAGUUACAUCUGGUUGAAGAACGAAGGCCUGUUAACGCGGUCUCCCUUCUACCGUUUCUCGUUGCCGUUUAGCUCCAUGAUAGCGGGGGGAGGAAGCAAGACCUAUUAAUUGGAUGAAGAACUUGGAGAUAAUAUUGUAUCCCAGUUCGAGUUAAAUUAUUGAAUUGUUGAUUUAAAAAUAAAUUAAUUUAAUUGUAGUUCAAGUCUGGAUACUGC